rnacentral:rRNA from 1 species
AGAGUUUGAUCCUGGCUCAGAGCGAACGCUGGCGGCAGGCUUAACACAUGCAAGUCGAGCGGGCGUAGCAAUACGUCAGCGGCAGACGGGUGAGUAACGCGUGGGAACGUACCCUUUGGUUCGGAACAACACAGGGAAACUUGUGCUAAUACCGGAUAAGCCCUUACGGGGAAAGAUUUAUCGCCGAAAGAUCGGCCCGCGUCUGAUUAGCUAGUUGGUAGGGUAAUGGCCUACCAAGGCGACGAUCAGUAGCUGGUCUGAGAGGAUGAUCAGCCACAUUGGGACUGAGACACGGCCCAAACUCCUACGGGAGGCAGCAGUGGGGAAUAUUGGACAAUGGGGGCAACCCUGAUCCAGCCAUGCCGCGUGAGUGAUGAAGGCCCUAGGGUUGUAAAGCUCUUCUGUGCGGGAAGAUAAUGACGGUACCGCAAGAAUAAGCCCCGGCUAACUUCGUGCCAGCAGCCGCGGUAAU